GGGGAUUUAGCUCAGCGGCAUAAGCGCCUGCCUUGCAAGCAGGAGGUUGUGAGUUCGAUCCCCG
rnacentral:tRNA from 1 species